rnacentral:rRNA from 1 species
CAGCAGCCGCGGUAAUACGAAGGGGGCUAGCGUUGCUCGGAAUUACUGGGCGUAAAGGGCGCGUAGGCGGCUGGACAAGUCAGGCGUGAAAUUCCCGGGCUCAACCUGGGGACUGCGCUUGAGACUGUUUGGCUAGAGGACAGGAGAGGGUCGUGGAAUUCCCAGUGUAGAGGUGAAAUUCGUAGAUAUUGGGAAGAACACCGGUGGCGAAGGCGGCGACCUGGCCUGUUACUGACGCUGAGGCGCGACAGCGUGGGGAGCAAACAGGAUUAGAUACCCCGGUAGUCCCUGUCUCUUAUAC